rnacentral:rRNA from 1 species
AUGGCGGAGGUCGUGACCGGAGCUAUGGGUAGCCUCCUGCCCAAGCUCGCUGACCUGAUCACAGAGGAGUACAGCCUUCAGAGGGGUGUCAGGGGCGAGAUCAUGUUCCUCAAAGCUGAGAUGGAGAGCAUGCAGACGGCUCUCCUCAAGAUAUCUCAGGCACCAAUUGACCAGCCACCAGAUAUCCAAGUCAAGCUUUGGGCCAAGGCGGUGAGGGACUUAUCAUACGACCUCGAAGAUAGCAUCGACAAGUUCAUGGUGCACAUCGAAACCCAUGGACAAGACAAUUCCCGCAGUUUCAAGGGUUUCAUUGAUAAGAGCCUCAGCCUCCUGACCAAGGGCAAGAUUCGCCACAAGAUUGGCAUCGAUAUCAAAGGCAUAAAAACCCGUAUCAAGGAGGUCAGUGAGCGGCGUGAUAGGUGCAGGGUUGACAGUGUGGCCAUUGCCAAGCCAACUGGUCCAACUAUUGAUACCCUUCGCCUGUCAGCCCUGUAUAGAAAGUCGACAGAGCUCGUUGGUACUGACCAGAAGAGCGUCGAGGUUGUCAAGAUGCUAAUGCAAGGAGAUGAGGUUUCCAACCGACAGCUGAAGGUGGUCUCUAUUGUUGGAUUGGGUGGAUUAGGCAAGACAACCCUUGCUAAUGCAGUGUAUGAGAAGCUUAAAGAGAAAUUUAAUAUUCAAAAAAAAAAUCAGCAAUUCGACUUUUCUGCUGCUUUUGUUUCAGUGUCUCUUAAUCCUAGCAUGGAGAAGAUUUUCAAGAACUUGCUCUAUCAACUUGACAAACAGAAGUACGAGAAUAUCAAUGAGGCAACAUGGGGUGAAGCGCAACUCAUCAGCGAGAUUAGAGCCUUCCUUAGAAACAGGAGGUACUUGAUUGUUACUGAUGACAUAUGGGAUAAAUCCGUCUGGGAAAAUAUCAAAUAUGCUUUGCCUGAAAAUGAAUAUGGAAGUAAAGUAAUCACAACAACUCGCAUUCUUGAUGUUGCCCAGCAAGCCGAUGAUGUUUACCGGCUGGAGCCUCUUUCUAUUGUUGAUUCAAGGAAGUUGUUCUACCAAAGAAUAUAUGAGGCCGAGAACAAAUCACCACCUAAUCAUUUGGUCGAAAUAUCCGAGAAAGUUUUAGGAAGAUGUGGUGGAGUGCCGUUAGCUAUCCUUACAAUUGCUAGUUUGCUGUCCAGUAAAAAGGGAAGAUCACACACGCAUGAGUAUUGGUCCAAGGUAUACAAAUCUAUGGGUUCGGGCCUAGAUAAUAGUCAUGAUGAUGUGAAGAACAUGAGAAGGAUAUUAUCAGUCAGUUACUCUGACCUACCUCCUCACCUGAAGACUUGUAUACUGCAUCUUAGUUUGUACCCAGAGGAUUAUGAGAUUCAAACUGAAGAGUUGAUAUGGAAGUGGGUGGGUGAAGGUUUUGUUAAAAAUGAACAGGGGAGGAGCUUAUAUGAGGAAGGAGAAGAUUACUUCAACGAGCUUAUUAAUAAAAGCUUGGUCCAACCUGUAAAAUUUGACAACGCGAAUAAAGUGUGCUCUUGUUGUGUACACGAUAUGGUGCGUGACCUUAUCACUUCCUUGUCAACUGAAGAGAAUUUCCUAACAACAUUUGGUGGUCAGCAGCCAGUGUAUCUACCAGGUAAGAUCCGUCGACUGUCUAUUCACACCUGCGUUGAAGGUCAGCUGCCAACCAUAGGCUUGACCCAUGUGAGAUCACUUAGCGUGUCUAGCCCAGCUUUCUGUCUAUUGCCAGCACUUUCGGGUUUUCCAGUCCUGCGUGUGUUGGAUUUAACUGACUGCAAGCAAGUGGAUAAUAAUCAUUGGAAGGAUAUAUGCAGUUUGUUUCACUUGAGAUAUCUGAAUUUAAAGGGCACAUCUGUCACUAAGAUCCCCCAAAAGAUUGGGAAUCUGCAAUUUCUGCAGGUGCUUGACAUCAGGUCCACCAGAAUAGAAGAAGAGCUGCCGUCAACCUUUAUUCAACUGACACGACUGUUGUUAUUCCACAUGCUUGAUAGCAUCACUUUUGCAGUGCCGAGGUGGAUGUGCUCCAUGUCUUUCCUCUUCUCCCUAAGUAUCACACUUGAAACACUGGGAGAGGAAGACCUUCAAGUUCUCGGGAGUAUACCAUCUCUCAGUGAACUGCUCAUACAAGUGAAGAAACCUACACAAGGCAGAGACAAACGGUUGCAUGUUGGCAGUGGUUAUCCAUUUCCGUGUUUAACAAGGUUCAUUUUCAAGAGUGAUACCAUGGAGUUGAGGUUUGAACGAGGAGCCAUGCAAAGUCUCCAAAGCCUGUGGUUAAAUUUUGAAGAUGUGCAGGACACAUUACUUCAGUUUGGUGAUUUUAUAUUGGGUUUAGAGAAUCUCUCUUCGCUUGAGCAUAUUUAUGUUUGCUUCAGAAAAGGCAACGACACUGCAGAGGAGAUGCAAAGUGUGAGAAAUUCAGUUCAGAAAGAGAUGGAUAUGAAUCGAAAGAAGCCCAUACUGAUGUUCCCACUAACAUUGGAAGAGGAAAUACGUCGUCAAGAGGAACUUCGUCGGAAGGCCGCGCUGAAAUACCUGAACGCUGUUCGCAAGGAGGCAAUAAUGCUGGGUGGUGGGGCAAAUAAUGCUCCUCAAGUUACUGAUCGUGAGCUGAGACGGUUGCUAGUAAUUAAUCAGGUUAUCAGAGGCAAAGACCAGGAUGCAGACUUGGGCACCUGA